rnacentral:rRNA from 1 species
AGUGAACGCUGGCGGUAGGCCUAACACAUGCAAGUCGAAUGGCAGCACAGGAGAGCUUGCUCUCUGGGUGGCGAGUGGCGGACGGGUGAGGAAUACAUCGGAAUCUACUCUGUCGUGGGGGAUAACGUAGGGAAACUUACGCUAAUACCGCAUACGACCUACGGGUGAAAGCAGGGGAUCUUCGGACCUUGCGCGAUUGAAUGAGCCGAUGUCGGAUUAGCUAGUUGGCGGGGUAAAGGCCCACCAAGGCGACGAUCCGUAGCUGGUCUGAGAGGAUGCUCAGCACCACUGGAACUGAGACACGGUCCAGACUCCUACGGGAGGCAGCAGUGGGGAAUAUUGGACAAUGGGCGCAAGCCUGAUCCAGCCAUACCGCGCGGGUGAAGAAGGCCUUCGGGUUGUAAAGCCCUUUUGUUGGGAAAGAAAUCCAGCUGGCUAAUACCCGGUUGGGAUGACGGUACCCAAAGAAUAAGCACCGGCUAACUUCGUGCCAGCAGCCGCGGUAA